GAAAUGUGCCCGAGACAUAAGGGCUAUUUUGAUAAAAUAGACACAGAGCCUCCUCUCUCAUUUCCA
rnacentral:tRNA from 1 species